GCCCCCCGCUCAGCGAUUGGCCGAAAAAUUGGGGCUGGGACGGGAACCGGGAGCCCGGGAUGCGCUGGGCAGGUGAGACAGGUGAGACAGGUGAGAUGGGACAGGUGAGAUGGGACAGGUGAGAUGGACAGGUGAGAUGGACAGGUGAGAUGGGACAGGUGAGACAUGGACAGGUGAGAUGGGACAGGUGAGAUGGGACAGGUGAGAUGGACAGGUGAGACAUGGACAGGUGAGACAGGUGAGAUGGACAGGUGAGACAUGGACAGGUGAGACAUGGACAGGUGAGAUGGGACAGGUGAGAUGGACAGGUGAGAUGGACAGGUGAGACAUGGACAGGUGAGAUGGACAGGUGAGACAUGGACAGGUGAGACAUGGACAGGUGAGAUGGGACAGGUGAGACAUGGACAGGUGAGAUGGACAGGUGAGAUGGGACAGGUGAGAUGGACAGGUGAGACAGGUGGGACAGGUGAGGUUGGACAGGUGGGAGAGGUGGGACAGGUGACACAGGUGAGAUAUGAACAGGUGAGGUGGGUG
rnacentral:lncRNA from 1 species